UACGGAGGGAGCUAGCGUUGUUCGGAAUUACUGGGUGUAAAGGGUGCGCAGGCGGACUUAUAAGUCAGUGGUGAAAUCUCACAGCUUAACUGUGAAACUGCCUUUGAUACUGUAGGUCUUGAAUUAGGGAGAGAUUCGUGGAAUUCCGAGUGUAGCAGUGAAAUGUGUAGAUAUUCGGAAGAACACCAGAGGCGAAGGCAGCGAAUUGGCCCUAUAUUGACGCUCAGGCACGAAAGCAUGGGGAUCAAACAGG
rnacentral:rRNA from 1 species